CCUACGGGUGGCAGCAGUGGGGAAUAUUGCACAAUGGGGGAAACCCUGAUGCAGCAACGCCGCGUGAGUGAAGAAGUAUUUCGGUAUGUAAAGCUCUAUCAGCAGGGAAGAAGAUGACGGUACCUGACCAAGAAGCCCCGGCUAACUACGUGCCAGCAGCCGCGGUAAUACGUAGGGGGCAAGCGUUAUCCGGAUUUACUGGGUGUAAAGGGAGCGCAGACGGCAAUGCAAGUCUGGAGUGAAAGCCCGGGGCCCAACCCCGGAACGGCUGUGGAAACUGGGCGGCUAGAGUAAUGGAGGGGCAGGCGGAAUGCCUGGUGUAGCGGUGAAAUGCGUAGAUAUUAGGAGGAACACCAGUGGCGAAGGCGGCCUGCUGGACAGUAACUGACGUUGAGGCUCGAAAGCGUGGGGAGCAAACAGGAUUAGAUACCCCAGUAGUC
rnacentral:rRNA from 1 species